rnacentral:rRNA from 1 species
GAUGAACGCUGGCGGCGUGCCUAAUACAUGCAAGUCGAGCGAACAGACGAGGAGCUUGCUCCUCUGACGUUAGCGGCGGACGGGUGAGUAACACGUGGAUAACCUACCUAUAAGACUGGGAUAACUUCGGGAAACCGGAGCUAAUACCGGAUAAUAUAUUGAACCGCAUGGUUCAAUAGUGAAAGACGGUUUUGCUGUCACUUAUAGAUGGCUCCGCGCCGCAUUAGCUAGUUGGUAAGGUAACGGCUUACCAAGGCAACGAUGCGUAGCCGACCUGCGAGGGUGACCGGCCACACUGGAACUGAGACACGGUCCAGACUCCUACGGGAGGCAGCAGUAGGGAAUCUUCCGCAAUGGGCGAAAGCCUGACGGAGCAACGCCGCGUGAGUGAUGAAGGUCUUCGGAUCGUAAAACUCUGUUAUUAGGGAAGAACAAAUGUGUAAGUAACUAUGCACGUCUUGACGGUACCUAAUCAGAAAGCCACGGCUAACUACGUG